UGUCUUGGGCAGGCACCGAGGCAUCUGCUCUGCACCAGGUCUGGUGUGCCAGCAAAGAGGGGAAUUGAGACAAUAGCAGCAGCAAUGCCAAGCAGCUUUCCAUCGCUGCGUUGCCAUCUGAUGGAGGAAUCCACGUGUUCAGCCCAAAAACCAAAGAAGAUUGGGAAGUUGGGCCCCCGAGGGAAAUGAACCUCUGUGUCCUGGACGUCUGGUGUCACCUGUGAUGCAGAAGCAUUGUCCCUUCCUGGUGUGUGUCGGACACUUCUUGUGACCACAGCCACUCCAGCUGAGGUUAGGGAAGGGAAAUGGCUUGGUGCAAACUGGUUGGUGAAGGCAAAAAAGGAUUAUACUUCCUCUGGUUUGCUGAGAAGAUGAGGUUGAAUCCAUCCAGACCUCCCCCACUUCCUUCUGGGAGAGGACAGCAGGAGAGAAUGUUGAUACAACAGUGGAGGAGAAAGGCAGAGGAAGGCAACAAGUGCAAUGGUAAGGGAAAGUCCUCCCAGGCAGGAAUUGCAAGCAGGAAUGAGCCUCUGGCCAAACCAUGAUCUCAGCCUUCUCCUGAGAGAGGUGUUGAGAAAUUUUAGCACCUAGAGGGCUGGAAAGCAGCAGCCUGAUGUUGAGGGGUGAAGAGUAAGGGCUGUGUGAAAGGACAGGCACUACCCUGCCAUGAACUAUCAAGAAAUGGAACUUCUCCUGGGGCGAAAGAAAGGUGAGAAAACAGAGGUGUUCUCCCUCCCUGAGUGAGUCUGACAGCCAUAUGGUGUAAGAAUUGUUGUCAUCAUAAUUAAUUCCUUUUUGACAUUGCUCUGGCAGAUGUCCACGGGUCUGCGGGAGCAGGGCUGUCCUCUCAGCAGCUGCAAAGAAGUGGAGUGAGAAAUAAGUGGCAGGGAGGGCUGGUUCCUUUUGUUUUGCAGGCUAGCUGGGCUUGCAUGAGAAAGGACCAUCUCUGAGGCUGGGUGGAUGCUUCUGUCUCUGGCACUGCAGGCUAUCAGAGGGACAGGAACUCCAUUUUCUCACACUGUCACUCCAGCACUGGACUGCACCAAGGUUGCUGAAGUUGAUGCUUUAAUAUAAAGCAACCUGUGCAUUGCAAGAAGGGAACUAAGCCAAAUGAGAGCGCCUAUCUCAGGUAAACAUAACCCUCGUGUCCAGCAGUCAUUUGACACUGUCUGCUAAAAUACCUCUACCUCCAGUUUAAAAUCACCUGAAGUGAGGGUUUUGACCUGCUGGGCACUAAGGUUACAGCUCCAGAGGGUAAAUGCAUAUGGUUUCCCACUCUUGCUGCCUUUUGUACCCUCUGUAAAGAAGGGUUCUUCAUGAAGCUGAAGGGGGAGAAGAAAGGCACUUUCAGAUAGUCUAACCUUUCUGUUUCUAGUGUAUCAUCACCAUUAAUCCCCAUCUCUGGAUUUCUGUGUACUGCCAUGGUCCUGGCUCCCUGUGUUGUGUAGUAAAGGGCAGCCAGGGAGGCACGUAGGUGGUGAUUGUAGAAUUUCUGCUGUGCUUUCCAUGUCAUGCUCCUGGGGGCAUGACCUGUAAUUGUGUGAUGGUUUGGGGUUGGUUUCAGCUGCACCCCAGACUUGAGACAGCUGUUAUAGGCCUGGAAAUCCUGAGUGCAUGUGGAGAACUCAUCCCUUGAGGGCACACACAGGGGACCAACAGCAGUCUUGCCUUGGCUGAGCUCCCAUUGUAUAGAGUUUUUUUAAACUUAUAGAAGAGAUGGAUUACUGAUUUUUUUAAAUGGCUGGUUCUUCAAAGGAGUCCAGUUUUCUACCUUUCAUACCGAGGAUUUCCCUUUUGUGACUUGAAGCAGGGAUUUUAUUUUCCCUUCCCUUCGUGUAAUUCCUGUUUAUUACACAACCUCUCCUUAUUGACAUAGCAUCUUUAGCUUAUGCAUCAUUUAUUGGUAUCUGAACAGUUACUGGAAAGCGUUCCUGGGUAAGCUCUAGGGAGGCACGGUUGCCUCACUA